CAGUAGCCGCGGUAAUACGGAGGGUGCAAGCGUUAAUCGGAAUUACUGGGCGUAAAGCGCACGCAGGCGGUCUGUCAAGUCGGAUGUGAAAUCCCCGGGCUCAACCUGGGAACUGCAUCCGAAACUGGCAGGCUAGAGUCUUGUAGAGGGGGGUAGAAUUCCAGGUGUAGCGGUGAAAUGCGUAGAGAUCUGGAGGAAUACCGGUGGCGAAGGCGGCCCCCUGGACAAAGACUGACGCUCAGGUGCGAAAGCGUGGGGAGCAAACAGGAUUAGAUACCCGCGUAGUCCCUGUCUCUUAUAC
rnacentral:rRNA from 1 species